UCCGUUUACAAGUCGAUAUCCAUUGCAGAGGCGGUGCCAAUCACUACUAGAUAUGAACAAAAUCACAUUUGUGAAUGUUUGAUGGCCACGUCCAAAAAGUCUUAAAACCCAUAUCUGGCUCCUUUUCGUCAGUGAGGUACAUCACAGGCUAAGAAUCGACUUGGUAUUAUCAACAGGUAUGUUAAAUACAUCACUAAAACAGCCAAAGUGCGUUUAUCCUGCAUCCAUUUCUUGUUGUGUUUAAUAAAAGCAGACGACCAGUGGCUCUCGAAUGGUUCCCUUCAAUACCAGUCCCUCUGGUGGACAAUUAGCAGCUGUGAUGCCGAAUCAGUGGCAACUGCUGUGGAUUUUUACGCUUUCUAAAUACAGAAAGGGAUUUGCGUGACGAACAUAGGCAGAAAAAUGUGACUUUUACCCACCAAUACAAGAGGGCAAAGUACAAUCAUCUGCGAUGUUUCAGUUCAAUUGGAGUUACGUUUUCUAGUUCGGCUAAAGUCUAACGUUUGGGAGAUUAGCAACGCAACUAGGGAAGAACCGAGACAGUCAAUUUCCCCGAUCAUCGUGAUUAAUUUCCGAUGCCCUGGACUAUGCGACGGAACCAUUCGCGCCGUCAGAAUCUGAAGAGCUACAGCAUAUAUGUGCGGACACCUUCAUCGUUCGACAACGAAGAUCAAACAUUUUACGGCCAGCAAGGACAUAUUUGGGAACUGGUAUUGGCGCCAAUAUUCAACAAAUUCACCUAAAGGAGACAAGAUGGCACUGUCAACGUGUCAAACAAAAUGGGAGGAGUUAUCCCUGACCCCUAACCCCAAAAAUUGGUUUCAGUCCCUUACGAAACAGGUUCAGUUUGGCGCCAUUGUAGGUGGUUGUUACCGGAAGGGGUAGGAAAAAAAGGAUAUUCAACAUGGCUGACGUCGUCACUGGCGAAUUUGUCUGUACCAUGCUUAAGAUACGUAAUUGAUUUAAGUUUUGCUCGUUUCAAGAAAGAUACGUUAUGUGUUACGUAAUCCAUUUCCU